UACGAAGGGGGCUAGCGUUGCUCGGAAUCACUGGGCGUAAAGCGCACGUAGGCGGCUUUCUAAGUCAGGGGUGAAAUCCUGGAGCUCAACUCCAGAACUGCCUUUGAUACUGGGGAGCUCGAGUCCGGAAGAGGUGAGUGGAACUCCGGAGUGUAGAGGUGAAAUUCGUAGAUAUUCGGAAGAACACCAGUGGCGAAGGCGGCUCACUGGUCCGGUACUGACGCUGAGGUGCGAAAGCGUGGGGAGCAAACA
rnacentral:rRNA from 1 species